UGGCGAGGAUGAAUAAUGCUAA
rnacentral:siRNA from 1 species